rnacentral:rRNA from 1 species
UACGAAGGGGGCUAGCGUUGUUCGGAAUUACUGGGCGUAAAGGGCGCGUAGGCGGCGUGUCAAGUCAGGCGUGAAAGCCCCGGGCUCAACCUGGGAACCGCGCUUGAGACUGGCAUGCUCGAGUUCGGGAGAGGAUGGUGGAAUUCCCAGUGUAGAGGUGAAAUUCGUAGAUAUUCGGCGGAACACCAGUGGCGAAGGCGACUCACUGGCCCGAUACUGACGCUGAGGCGCGAAAGCGUGGGGAGCAGACAGG